ACUCUUUUAGUUUACAAAAAAUAUCAUCUUGUGGCGGUGAAGUCUUUUAGAGUA
rnacentral:tRNA from 1 species